GACGUAGGGUGCGAGCGUUGUCCGGAUUUAUUGGGCGUAAAGAGCUCGUAGGCGGCUCGUCGCGUCGACCGUGAAAACCUACUGCUUAACAGUGGGCUUGCGGUUGAUACGGGCGGGCUGGAGUUCGGUAGGGGAGAAUGGAAUUCCUGGUGUAGCGGUGAAAUGCGCAGAUAUCAGGAAGAACACCCGUGGCUAAGGCGGUUCUCUAGUACGGUACUGACGCUGAGACGCGAAAGCGUGGGGAGCGAACAGG
rnacentral:rRNA from 1 species